CUAGCAUUCUCUUUUCAACCUAUAAAGAGUGAGAAUCAGUUUUGAAAGUUUCAAUUUCACCAAAUUGGGACUUACCUUGGUCUUGAAUUUUGAGAGUGUGUGCCCUGAUGAAUUACAUAGUUUGUGGCUAGGAAAUUUAACUUUUUUUUUUGAUUGUGUCAUAACCAAUGCAUCAUCACAGUUGGUAAUCUUCAAAACACUGACGCAUUUUUCUACAUGCUGUUCCCAAAUGUGCUGGACCAGCUGUUGAGAGCCAUGCCAUCCAAUCGCCUGGAAGACCUCUUCUUGGACCACAAAUCACCUAACGUAGUAUCCCUCUUUGUUCUAAUAAAGAAUGGAAAAAUUAAAGCAAGCUACCGUGGUUUAUUACUCAUGUUUUCUCUGUUAAGCAUGGGCUGUGGGAAUCACUGCAUCCACAUUAGGAGGCCUUGGCAUUCUAGAAACACACAAGAUAAAAGAAAAGUGCUAUACCAUUUUUCUUCUCAAACCUUCCAUUGUAAUAAAAACGGAUUGUAAAUCAAAG
rnacentral:lncRNA from 1 species